AAUCGCACUUUGUUACUCGAAUCCUCAUCACAGUAACUUUUAUUCUGUAUCUUUUUUAUCACCCUGCCAAUCUGCCUGUCUGUCAGUCUGUUGCCAUGUCCAGCAGCCGCCUGUCUGUCCACGCUCGUGUUGGGUUUGCUCCCGCUCUGGACCGGAGCCUCAUCUGCUUCCAGCCAAUACGCCCUCAUUCCUCACUGGCCACCUGGCUGUUCGGAGCAGCUGUAAACACAUUUGCCUUCUGACAUGACAAAAUGCACCAAACUACGGAUCUGAAAGUGAUGUAUGAGUCUACAGCCACACUAACAGCUCUGGAGGGUGUUCUGGGACACAGUGGUGCUUUGAGUUAAAUGCUAAUAACAUCAACAUGUUUGGCAGAUCUCAGGAGCGAGCCACCUUUGAAAGUGUCUUCAUUUGCUUGAGUUAUGUAAUCCAUUACAGAUGCGGAGGCGUAUGAAUUGGCCGUAGGUGUGAAUGUGAGUGUGAAUGGUUGUUUCUCUCUUUGUAACCUGCGAUGAACUGGUGACUUGUCCCGGGUGUACCCCACCUCUCGCCCCAAUAUCAGCUGGGAUAGGCUCCAGCCCCACCGUGACCCUGAUGAGGAUAAGCAGUUACAGAAAAUGGAUGGAUGGUUGGAGUUCUAUAAAUAUUCACCCUAGGAAUGAGGAAUGAGUUUAUUUGUGCUGUGAAGUUGAACAUUUUAACACAGGGCUUUAUGGAGACUAAUGUUCUGUAGCCAGCCUCAAGUGGAAGGAGGCUGGCGCUUGUUAAGAGGCAUGGAAC